AACGUACGCUGGCGGCACGCCUAACACAUGCAAGUCGAACGAAGUAGCAAUACUUAGUGGCAGACGGGUGAGUAACAUGUAGGUAUCUGCCCUUUGGCCUGGAAUAACACGAGGAAACUUGUGCUAAUACCGGAUAAGUCUUUACGGAGAAAGCUUUAUGCACCAUUGGAUGAGCCUGCACUUGAUUAGUUUGUUGGUGGGGUAAUGGCCUACCAAGACUGUGAUCAAUAGCUGAUUUGAGAGGAUGAUCAGCCACAUUGGGACUGAGACACGGCCCAAACUCCUACGGGAGGCAGCAGUGGGGAAUCUUGCACAAUGGAGGAAACUCUGAUGCAGCGAUGCCGCGUGAGUGAAGAAGGCCUUUGGGUUGUAAAGCUCUUUCGUCGGGGAAGAAAAUGACUGUACCCGAAUAAGAAGGUCCGGCUAACUUCGUGCCAGCAGCCGCGGUAAUACGAAGGGACCUAGCGUAGUUCGGAAUUACUGGGCUUAAAGAGUUCGUAGGUGGUUGAAAUAGUUGGUGGUGAAAUCCCAGAGCUUAACUCUGGAACUGCCAUCAAAACUUUUCAGCUAGAGUAUGAUAGAGGAAAGCAGAAUUUCUAGUGUAGAGGUGAAAUUCGUAGAUAUUAGAAAGAAUACCAAUUGCGAAGGCAGCUUUCUGGAUCAUUACUGACACUGAGGAACGAAAGCAUGGGUAGCGAAGAGGAUUAGAUACCCUCGUAGUCCAUGCCGUAAACGAUGUGUGUUAGACGUUGGAAAUUUAUUUUCAGUGUCGCAGGGAAACCGAUAAACACACCGCCUGGGGAGUACGACCGCAAGGUUAAAACUCAAAUGAAUUGACGGGGACCCGCACAAGUAGUGGAGCAUGUGGUUUAAUUCGAAGAUACGCGCAGAACCUUACCAACACUUGACAUGUUCGUCGCGACUCUAAGGGAUUAGAGUCUUCGGUUCGGCCGGACGAAACACAGGUGCUGCAUGGCUGUCGUCAGCUCGUGUCGUGAGAUGUUGGGUUAAGUCCCGCAACGAGCGCAACCCUCACUUUUAGUUGCCAUCAUUAAGUUGGGCACUCUGAAAGAACUGCCAGUGAUAAGCUGGAGGAAGGUGGGGAUGACGUCAAGUCCUCAUGGCCCUUACGUGUUGGGCUACACACGUGCUACAAUGGUAUCUACAACAGGAAGCAAAACUGCGAAGUUAAGCAAAUCCUUAAAAGAUACCUCAGUUCGGAUUGCACUCUGCAACUCGAGUGCAUGAAGCUGGAAUUACUAGUAAUCGUGGAUCAGCGUGCCACGGUGAAUGCGUUCCCGGGUCU
rnacentral:rRNA from 1 species